UACAGAGGGUGCGAGCGUUAAUCGGAAUUACUGGGCGUAAAGCGCGCGUAGGCGGCUUUGCAAGCCGGAUGUGAAAUCCCCGGGCUUAACCUGGGAACUGCAUUCGGGACUGCAUUGCUAGAGUAUGGGAGAGGGAAGUGGAAUUUCAGGUGUAGCGGUGAAAUGCGUAGAUAUCGCUUGGAACGCCAACGGUGAAAACAGACUGCUGGGGGUGUGCUGACGCUGAGACACGAAAGCCAGGGGAGCGAACGGG
rnacentral:rRNA from 1 species